AUGAAUUGCAUGAGCUGGAACUGCCGGGGGCUUGGGAACCCUGAGGCAGUUCAUGAGCUUCGCAGCAUUGUGAAGCAAGAAGUUCCUGCCCUGCUAUUCGUAAUGGAAACCAAAAUCAGGGCAAAGCGAGUUGAAGAUCUACGGCACCAGCUUGGUUUCAUGGGAUGUUUUACGGUUGGUAGUGAAGGAUUGAGAGGAGGUAUUGGCCUCUUUUGGUCUAAGGACUCUGAAGUUCAAUUGAAAAACUAUAGUUCCAGCCAUAUCGAUGCGAUGGUGCGGACGAAAGACACAAACCCCAUGGAGUGGAGAUUCACAUGA
rnacentral:rRNA from 1 species